UUGCUCACUUUGGCAGCACGUAUACUAAAAUUGGAACGAUACAGAGGAGAUUAGCAUGGCCCUGUACAAGGAUGACAUGCAAAUUUGUGAAGCAUUCCAUAUAUAU
rnacentral:snRNA from 1 species